ACAGGUUAGCAGGGGAGAUACCGUGAUCAUGAAGGUGGUUUUCCCAGGACGAGCAAGACUUAUCCAUUGCACUCCGGAUGUGCUGACCCCUGCGAUUUCCCCAAAUGUGGGAAACUCAACUGCAUAAUUUGUGGUAGUCUGGGACUGUGUCCGUGCUCUCCCCUG
ensembl:snRNA U1 U1 spliceosomal RNA